AGCAUAUCAAUAAGCGGAGGAAAAGAAACCAACAGGGAUUGCCCUAGUAACGGCGAGUGAAGCGGCAACAGCUCAAAUUUGAAAUCUGGCUCCUUUGGGGUCCGAGUUGUAAUUUGUAGAGGGUGCUUUGGCGUUGGUUGUGGUCUAAGUUCCUUGGAACAGGACGUCACAGAGGGUGAGAAUCCCGUACGUGGCCGCCAGCCUUCGCCGUGUAAAGCCCCUUCGAUGAGUCGAGUUGUUUGGGAAUGCAGCUCUAAAUGGGAGGUAAAUUUCUUCUAAAGCUAAAUAUUUGCCAGAGACCGAUAGCGCACAAGUAGAGUGAUCGAAAGAUGAAAAGCACUUUGGAAAGAGAGUCAAAAAGCACGUGAAAUUGUUGAAAGGGAAGCGCUUGCAGCUAGACGUGCCUUGGGUUGAUCAGCCGGACUUUUGUCCGGUGCACUCUUCCUUUGGCAGGCCAGCAUCAGUUUGGGCGGCUGGAUAAAGGUCUGUUAAACGUGACUUCCUUCGGGGAGAGCUUAUAGGGCAGACGACAUGCAGCCAGCCUGAACUGAGGUCCGCGCAUCUGCUAGGAUGCUGGCAUAAUAGCUGUAAGCGGCCCGUCUUGAAACACGGACCAAGGAGUCUAACAUCUAUGCGAGUGUUUGGGUGUCAAGCCCGAGCGCGUAAUGAAAGUAAACGGAGGUGGGAACCUUUUAGGUGCACCAUCGACCGAUCCUGAUGUCUUCGGAUGGAUUUGAGUAAGAGCAUAGCUGUUGGGACCCGAAAGAUGGUGAACUAUGCCUGAAUAGGGUGAAGCCAGAGGAAACUCUGGUGGAGGCUCGCAGCGGUUCUGACGUGCAAAUCGAUCGUCAAAUUUGGGCAUAGGGGCGAAAGACUAAUCGAACUAUCUAGUAGCUGGUUCCUGCCGA
rnacentral:rRNA from 1 species